rnacentral:rRNA from 1 species
CUAGCAUAUCAAUAAGCGGAGGAAAAGAAACCAACAGGGAUUGCCCUAGUAACGGCGAGUGAAGCGGCAACAGCUCAAAUUUGAAAUCUGGCGUCUUCGGCGUCCGAGUUGUAAUUUGCAGAGGGCGCUUUGGCAUUGGCAGCGGUCCAAGUUCCUUGGAACAGGACGUCACAGAGGGUGAGAAUCCCGUACGUGGUCGCUAGCCUUUACCGUGUAAAGCCCCUUCGACGAGUCGAGUUGUUUGGGAAUGCAGCUCUAAAUGGGAGGUAAAUUUCUUCUAAAGCUAAAUACUGGCCAGAGACCGAUAGCGCACAAGUAGAGUGAUCGAAAGAUGAAAAGCACUUUGGAAAGAGAGUUAAAAAGCACGUGAAAUUGUUGAAAGGGAAGCGCUUGCAGCCAGACUUGCCUGUAGUUGCUCAUCCGGGUUUUUACCCGGUGCACUCUUCUAUAGGCAGGCCAGCAUCAGUUUGGGCGGUUGGAUAAAGGUCUCUGUCAUGUACCUCUCUUCGGGGAGAACUUAUAGGGGAGACGACAUGCAACCAGCCUGGACUGAGGUCCGCGCAUCUGCUAGGAUGCUGGCGUAAUGGCUGUAAGCGGCCCGUCUUGAAACACGGACCAAGGAGUCUAACAUCUAUGCGAGUGUUUGGGUGUCAAGCCCGAGCGCGUAAUGAAAGUGAACGGAGGUGGGAACCUUUCGGGGUGCACCAUCGACCGAUCCUGAUGUCUUCGGAUGGAUUUGAGUAAGAGCAUAGCUGUUGGGACCCGAAAGAUGGUGAACUAUGCUUGAAUAGGGUGAAGCCAGAGGAAACUCUGGUGGAGGCUCGCAGCGGUUCUGACGUGCAAAUCGAUCGUCAAAUUUGGGCAUAGGGGCGAAAGACUAAUCGAACUAUCUAGUAGCUGGUUCCUGCCGA